rnacentral:misc_RNA from 1 species
GGCAGGAAGGGCCAAGGGGGAGGGGGAAACAAACACAAUCAGAAUAUGUUUCAUUGCCAACAUACUGAAUCUUUUUUUCCAUUACAUAUAUCAUAAUUAUGAAUUACAAAGAAGAGAUAUUCAUCACAUGCACAUUAUGUUUGAAGGAUAAUAUCAAAAUCCAAGUUGCAUGAUACACCUAUGUAAAAUAUAAUCACAUUUUGCUAGCAUGUUUACCAAAUAAUGAAUGCCGACCUUCAGCUAUCAACUCCCCUGUUGCUUUGUUUUUCACAAGAACAAUUGUUCCAGCAUAGCCUCCUUUUCGUCCCAAAACCUUUGAAGUGACCUCUAACUCAUCAUUGAGCUUUGCACUGGAAAGAAACGAAAUAGACAUAUCCACCGAGACAUUCAUAGGGAGACCCUCAACAUACACCACAGCACCACCUACUUCAUCUACCAGGUUCGCUAUUGCACCCGUAGCUAACUUACCGCUUCUGUCGGUGAGGCGAGCAGGGACCUUGAAAGUGCAAGAGACGAUGCCGGGCUCGACCCGGUCUACUCGGAUGCCUCUUAAGGCGAAGUCUUCGUAGAAGCUGUAAUCGAGGCCGAGUCGGUGAGGUUGGAAAGUGAGUUGCGAGAUGCUUGCCAAUUCUUCUUCGCUUAGUUUGAGAAACUGCUUCGCCUUCUCCAUCAAGGCUGUACGAUUCCGCUUUCCAGGCUCGGCUUGCAGAUUUGGGAGACUUUUUC